AAAGAAUGUGGGAUUACAUAAAGCAAAAUAACCUUCAGGACCCUUCUGACAAAAGGAGAAUAAUUUGUGACAAGAGGCUGAAAGAACUCUUCGAUGUCGAAUCCUUUAACGGCUUCACUGUUUCGAAACUCCUGGCCACUCAUUUUAUAAAGACAAAAUAGUGAGUUUUUUCCUACACAUUGUCUUUGUUGAUGCAAGAGAAUCUAGAAUUUUGCUUGAGAUAGUUUUAGU
rnacentral:misc_RNA from 1 species